AUUGAACGCUGGCGGCAGGCCUAACACAUGCAAGUCGAGCGGAUGAAGGGAGCUUGCUCCUGGAUUCAGCGGCGGACGGGUGAGUAAUGCCUACGAAUCUGCCUGGUAGUGGGGGAUAACGUCCGGAAACGGGCGCUAAUACCGCAUACGUCCUGAGUUAGAAAGUGGGGGAUCUUCGGACCUCACCCUACCUGCUGAGCCUAGGUCGGAUUAGCUAGUUGGUGGGGUAAAGGCCUACCAAGGCGACGAUCCGUAACUGGUCUGAGAGGGUGAUCAGUCACACUGGAACUGAGACACGGUCCAGACUCCUACGGGAGGCAGCAGUGGGGAAUAUUGGACAAUGGGCGAAAGCCUGAUCCAGCAAUGCCGCGUGUGUGAAGAAGGUCUUCGGAUUGUAAAGCACUUUAAGUUGGGAGGAAGGGCAGUAAGUUAAUACCUUGCUGUUUUGACGUUACCAACAGAAUAAGCACCGGCUAACUUCGUG
rnacentral:rRNA from 1 species